GCUUCAGUUACAUGAAAAGAAAAGUCCUUCCAAACAAGGAUCUCAGAUAGUCCAGUGCAGGACUGCAAUACGAAAAUCAUCUACCAUGGUAGUUAAGAACACAGACUUUGAAGCCAAACCUAGUUUUAAAUUCUUGCUCUGCCACUUCCUGCCUAUGAAAUCUUAAACAAGUUAUAUAAUCUUUCUGAACCUCUAUUCCUCAUUUUUAAAGUAGAUAAUAGUAACUCCCUCAGAGUGUUUAUGUAAUGCUCAUAAAGCACAGAGCACACUUAGCACCUAGUAAGCUCCCCUUAAAUGUACAUUUUUGUUACCAUUAUUACGUGUUAAAACAGGGCAGCUUCAAGACAUGAUUUCCAUCUUUUUUGUCAUCUUAGUCUCCCCCACUACACCUUUUUUUCUUCCUUUAACUUUUAUUUCAUUUCCCCUACUUCCCACCUAAACUAGGACAUCAAGGAAAGAAAAAUGUCCUAAGUACCCUAUAUGCUUUGCAGCCACAGAAGCCUAUCCAACCUCACUUUAUAGCACCCCUGUUCUAUUACAGUUCAGUAAUGAACAGAAGAGCAUCUGUCACUGUUUCCUGAAAACCUGCAUCCCAGUGCCACUUCUUUCUUGUGCUCCAGUGAGACAGAUUGGCCCAGCAGCUGCACAGGAAGCUGAGGUGGAGAUAAAGCACAGAGUAGUCCCAUGGUAGAAUCCUUCCAGAUUGGAGGUUCCUUUGGGAUCAUGUUACCACCUGCAACAAAGGUAGAGGAGAAUUGCUAAGAGCUACAGCUGGAUUAUUGCAGUUGCUCAUCAUCAUCAUAAUUUCUAUUACUGCUAAUAAUAAAAGCAAUCCCUUAUAUUUGCAGAGGGCUUUACAGUUACCAAAGUCUUUUGGUAACUGUACAUGAUCAGUAGAUCAUGUAUAUGACCAGUAGAUCAGUUUUAAGUUCUUCCUCUGAAGACUCAUCAGAAAUGUG
rnacentral:lncRNA from 1 species